rnacentral:tRNA from 1 species
UGAUAAAAAAAGGACUCUAACCUUUAUUAUAAGGGCUACAACCCUACGCCUACUUCGGCCAUUUUACCA